AUUGAACGCUAGCGGCAUGCUUUACACAUGCAAGUCGAACGAGUGGCGGACGGGUGAGUAAUAUAUCGGAACGUGCCCAGUAGCGGGGGAUAACUACUCGAACCAGUGGCUAAUACCGCAUACUAUCGGAACGGCCCCUAUCGGAUUAGCUAGUUGGUGGGGUAAAGGCUCACCAAGGCAACGAUCCGUAGCUGGUCUGAGAGGACGACCAGCCACACUGGGACUGAGACACGGCCCAGACUCCUACGGGAGGCAGCAGUGGGGAAUUUUGGACAAUGGGGGAAAGCCUGAUCCAGCCAUGCCGCGUGUAUGAGAAGGCCUUCGGGUUGUAAAGUACUUUUGGCAGGGAAGCGGUAUCUGCAGAAUAAGCACCGGCUAACUACGUGCCAGCAGCCGCGGUAAUAC
rnacentral:rRNA from 1 species